rnacentral:rRNA from 1 species
UACGGAAGGCAGCAGUGGGGAAUAUUGCACAAUGGGCGCAAGCCUGAUGCAGCCAUGCCGCGUGUAUGAAGAAGGCCUUCGGGUUGUAAAGUACUUUCAGUCGUGAGGAAGGUGUUAAGGUUAAUAACCUUAGCAAUUGACGUUAGCGACAGAAGAAGCACCGGCUAAUUCCGUGCCAGCAGCCGCGGUAAUACGGAGGGUGCGAGCGUUAAUCGGAAUUACUGGGCGUAAAGGGCACGCAGGCGGUUAAUUAAGUUGGAUGUGAAAUCCCCGGGCUUAACCUGGGAAUGGCAUUCAAGACUGGUUAGCUAGAGUCUUGUAGAGGGGGUUAGAAUUCCAUGUGUAGCGGUGAAAUGCGUAGAGAUGUGGAGGAAUACCGGUGGCGAAGGCGGCCCCUGGACAAAGACUGACGCUCAUGUGCGAAAGCGUGGGGAGCAAAC